ensembl:snoRNA
AGUGCUUGUGUGCCUGUUUGUUGAAAUAAUGGACAAAAACUCAAGACAGGUGCAAAAAUAAAUCCUCUUUUGCAACUCAGAACUCAUUAUUCAGUAUGAGUUUUGAUACACAUGAGAAGGAAUGUG